rnacentral:rRNA from 1 species
AUUGAACGCUGGCGGCAGGCCUAACACAUGCAAGUCGAACGAGUGGCGGACGGGUGAGUAAUGUCUGGGAAACUGCCUGAUGGAGGGGGAUAACUACUGGAAACGGUAGCUAAUACCGCAUACCAUCGGAUGUGCCCAGAUGGGAUUAGCUAGUUGGUGGGGUAACGGCUCACCAAGGCGACGAUCCCUAGCUGGUCUGAGAGGAUGACCAGCCACACUGGAACUGGGACACGGGCCAUACUCCUACGGGGUGCAGCAGUGGGGAAUAUUGCACAAAGGGCGCAAGCCUUAUUCAGCCAUGCCGCGUGUAUUAAGAAGGCCUUCGGGUUGUAAAGUACUUUCAGCGGGGAGGCGUUAACCGCAGAAGAAGCACCGGCUAACUCCGUGCCAGCAGCCGCGGUAAUAC